GCCGGGAGAUGACUUCAAGGGAGUUAGUCUUGAAGUGACACAAGGGCUAAUCUCUGCACAAGGUCUUCAAAAAGCCUGGUUUGGCCUAAACGAGUGUUACAGCGACAACAAGUGGAUCAAAUUGAAGGUGGAUGUGGAAGCAACGAAUAUAUUGAACCAAUUUCUGCAUUUCACCCUAAACAUUGAAGGAUACAGAGGAAGAUGCACAAGGCAACGAUUAUGGUACAAAUACAUCACUGGCUUUAGUAUUGUGGCUCACGGCUCUUCCAGCUGGACAAGCACAGCCCAAGAAACGGGCGGCAGAUGUCACGGUCCGGAAGAAUUCACGAACCUGCAGUACCCACCCACCUGCACGGAUCCGCCCGACCCUAUCACCACCACCACCACAUCAACACCACCUCCAGGUACCACCACCACCACUACCGCAACAACAAAAACAGCACCUCCAGGUACCACCACCACGACCACCACCACCACCACAUCAACACCACCACCUCCAGUGGUGAUAGCGGUGCCGAUAGCGGUGCCGAUAGCGGUGGUGGUGGCGGUGAUCCUGGCCAUUGUGGUGUGUGUGACCUAUCGGAGGCGGCGGCGUGGACAGGGAGAGGGGCAGCUGCCCCGCGUCGGCGGCGAGGUAGACGUCGACGACAACUACAUGGACG